rnacentral:tRNA from 1 species
GUGAUUAUGUCAGAAGUUAUAUGAGUUAGCUUUAAGCGUUAAUUAUGGGGUUUCCCCUAAUCACU